rnacentral:misc_RNA from 1 species
UUUCCGUAGGUGAACCUGCGGAAGAAUCAUUCAUAAUAAGUGUUUUAUGGCACUUUUUUAAAUCCAUAUCCACCUUGUGUGCAAUGUCAGGGUUGAUUUUUCUCUCGAGAGGAUCAACCCCAAACAUCAACUAUAUCUCAACUCUUUGUCUGAAAAAUAUUAUGAAUAAAACAAUUCAAAAUACAACUUUCAACAACGGAUCUCUUGGCUCUC